rnacentral:rRNA from 1 species
GACGAACGCUGGCGGCGUGCUUAACACAUGCAAGUCGAACGGAAAGGCCCUGCUUUUGUGUGGUUCUCGAGUGGCGAACGGGUGAGUAACACGUGAGUAACCUGCCCUUUACUUUGGGAUAACUUCAGGAAACUGGGGCUAAUACCGGAUAGGAGCUCCUGCUGCAUGGUGGGGGUCGGAAAGUUUCGGCGGUUGGGGAUGGACUCGCGGUUAAUCAGCUUGUUGGUGGGGUAGUGGCUUACCAAGGCUUUGACGGGUAGCCGGCCUGAGAGGGUGACCGGCCACAUUGGGACUGAGAUACGGCCCAGACUCCUACGGGAGGCAGCAGUGGGGAAUAUUGCACAAUGGGCGGAAGCCUGAUGCAGCAACGCCGCGUGCGGGAUGACGGCCUUCGGGUUGUAAACCGCUUUCGCCUGUGACGAAGCGUGAGUGACGGUAAUGGGUAAAGAAGCACCGGCUAACUACGUG